ensembl:lncRNA
GAGAAAAUAAGUUCGGAACAGAUUCACCAUCAACAUGAAUUAUAUAACACAAAGUUCAUUAUUUUUGGGCAAAACUCCCCUAGUCCUGGCCUUGAUGAUUCGAUCCGAUCUGUUGGCGGGCGGAUGCUGGUGGUGAAGCCCACAUAGGAACAUAAUCUACAGCAGCCCACCUGGGUGAGUGGGCUCCGGCUGCCUGGUCGCCUCUCACACACCUCGUACGGAUGGAACGUUGUGUAAUACGUCGAGACUCACAAAAUACAUUUUGUUGUAUAACUGUGUUGUGGGAUUAGUAAUGUGAUUUUGGAAAGACCAUAAAUAGACUCGACCAUGGAGAACACCAGUAGCUGCUGCAGUCUGGUGACUUUUUGUUUUUUUCUCUAGCGGAGUAAAAGUUUGGCCCUCCAAAGUCAUAACAGGAUGCACUGAGUCAUGAAAGUAUUGGAGCUUGUUUCCGACACUCAGAGGGAGUUUCAUAUCAGGAUUUUUACUCUAUGCCAGGGGUCUUCAACGUUUUUCAGGCCAAGGACCCCCAUACUGAUGGCGAGAUGGAGCAGGGACCCCCUAUUCUACAGAGUUUUGUCCGCCAUCUUUUAUCUUUGAGCUUUGCGCUUUUACGUGAGCAUGAACGUGAUCUGAUUAGCUGGUGCCUCUGCUGUCCUAUCAGCAUGAAAGAUGCUGUGAAUGAACCGGUGUCCAGCUUGAGAGCUGCUGUGGGAAGCUGGAUGUGUGUUUUGCGGACUGAAAGAUAAUGUCUUCUCCAUUAAUUUAUCCGUUCGCUACAAUAUGUUGGAUUUAUGUUUAUGUGUAACAAUAAAGAAGACAAUAAAUACAAUUCUGAUUCUGAAGACAUUUAAAUUUGUGGAAAAAAAAUUGUCUUAUCAACCAAAAAUUUCGCGACCCCCUUGCAGUACCUCCGCGGACCCCCUGUUGAAGACCUCUGCUCUAUGCGACUCUAGAGAGUGAGACCGAGAGAAAUCCACAGGCAGGACGGGGGAAGGUGUCCCGCCCCAAGGUUGACACGUGACAACAAUACCAAAACUAAAGGGCUUUUCACUUGAACGUGUGACUUUUUUAGGUUCCAGAGCACCACUGUAACCUAACACACAACUAUCAAUACACUUCAAGAUACGGCGGCGUAGUGUUCAAAAAGGCUUGAGCUCAAUACUGUGGAUCUGACCACAUAAUUAAGCAUGUUUACUCUGGAGGCUCUGAGGUAGUCGCUGUAGCCUCUUUUUCUUAUGUCACUGAUGGCGUUGACAAAUGGAGGCAAACGCAGGCUGUCAGUGGAGGUGGACCGAGGGCAGAUAAAAGCUGUCAUAGCAAAAUAUUUGCUUGACACGGCGGCCGCGAGGUCUUCAUCAGGGCAUCAAAUGUUGAAUAAAUGCAUGUAUACGUCGAUGUGGUUCUAUUCCAUUAGUAAUGGUCUUAUGUCACCAACCUUUUUACAGGAUAUAUGGGCAUGUGCAUUUAGCGUAAGUGGCACAAGCAUCACGCGCAUAGCUAAACAGUGUUUCCUUAUUUUAUGUGAGGAGGUGUAAUAAUAAAGUGCUCUAUUGGCAGCAUCUUCAAGCUUACUGUUGUCCCAUAUCUCAUCCAUAGGGGGUGGUUUCUCAUCUGAAAAACACAUUUUGGGAAUGGAAGUCAGCUACUCCCGACAAUUGACCCUUAAAACCUCAAGUCCGAAUUGCAAAUUGAAGCUUUCUCAUCUACUUGCUCAAUCGCUUAAGAAAACCUAAAAUGCACCGAGAAUUCAACCAUGAAGUGUGUAUUGAAUUAUUGUCCUCAUAAUAUGUCUGUAUGUCUGUCUGUCUGCUUCAGUCCCUCUAAAAAUAGAGCUGACCAGUCAGCAGCCACCUUCACAAUGUCUAAAUAGGACAGAGCUCUGACCGCUGUUGUUUCACUUCAUCUCUUCUGUUCGCCCUGAUCAGCAUUUUGUCCAGCUGCAGAUUUCUAAAAGUUGGCUUUUUUUCUGCUUUGAACCAAACCAGUAAUUCAGCUUUAUGCUUUAACCUGUGUUUGUGCAAUGUGAACCCACGAGGCUCGUCUUGCAAAGACGAGCAAGCACCUAAAGGUUUUACUGAGGAGGUCUUUAAGAUCCUGUGGAAAUGCAAACUUAUUGAAACUGGUCAUGUGUUGUUCUAUGAGUUCAAUUAACUGCUUUUAUCACAUCUACUGUUUAAUACAAAUAUCAGCUCUUUAUCAGUAAUAUUAUUUCACCUUUCCUUGAACAGUUUCAGUUUCUUCGGGUAAUCUGAGAAUGAAGUAAAAAAAAAAUGGGGAAGUUAAAAAAAAAUGUGUGACAGGACGUCCUCGUGGGAGGGAAGAGAUCUAUUGAGCAAUACGGCAGCUCGGUGGCGGCAGACAGUGUUGACAAGUGGAGGUGGAUGUGGGCAAGUAAAGACAAAACAACACACACACAGUUAGUAAUGGUCCUUUCAUAAUGGCCUUUGAGCUUAAACCUGUACGUCCAUAGAAGAAGAAACAAUCUGGAGCCGUCGAUGGGGAUUUUUUCUUGACAUACAUUCAAAACUCAACUGAUUAAUGACGUGACUUCUUUUUGAACGCCUGUUCAUGGACCGUUAAUGAAUUGACAAAGCUUUAUUCUGUAUUCUGCAAUAUCACAAAAAAAGGAAACCAGUUGGUCUGCAAUAUCUUAAGUCUAAACUAACAAACUUUAUUAGUCACUUUGAAGAAUCUCUUAAACCUAGUAAGAUUUCUGCGUGGUCUGUUAUGAAAGAUAUUAAUUAGGUUUUUUUAAAAGUUGGGAAAGCUCUGUAGUGAUAAAGCUGCGUAAUUUGCUGAUCUUGGAGAAACCGCGAAAUAUCCUAUUCACAAAA